CAACUGGCUAAGAGCAUUUCGGGUUAACACGUGCAUUUCGGAUGGGGGUAAAAGAAAGGCCCACCACUCUCCCCCGUCUCAUCGAUGGACAACCAGCGUACACGGUGAGGCGUCUCCUGGUUGACUGGGAGGGUUAUGGCCUGGAGGAGAGGUGCUGAGUCCCUGCUAGGGACAUCCUGGACCAAUGCCUCAUCGCUGAUUUCUAACACCGGCACCCCGUUCAACCAGCUCAUCGAGUUGUUGGAUCAACUCCUUCCCCCCUUCAACAACCUGGACGUAGAGAAAGAAAUAAGUGAUGAAUCUAUUCAGCGGUUUCCUUCUACUGUUUUGUUAAUUUAAAUCAUGUCAUGCAUGUCCAUGGAUAUUGAAGAGAACAAAUCUUACCACAGGCUGUUUUACUGCUGCUUGACCUUUUAAAAUGGCCUCCUGGGGAAGCAUAACUCCUCUGUUUUGUUUCUACUUCUCUGCACUCAAUUUCUCCUCCGCUUCUUUCAGAAAUUAAAACAUGGCUACUGAAACAGUUCUGGGAACUCACAUUGUUAGCCAGUGGUGUUUUAUCAAUUUUCAAACUCUAUUUAAAUAGGGGGUCUUAUGUUUUGUGCCAUCCCACUAACUCAGGUCUAACAAUGGUUACUUUUAAACAAACUAGUGACCAUUAUAAUCAGAACCUAAGCCAGCAUUGUGAAUGGCCAUGUUAGCUGAUUUAGUGCACAUGGUCUGGGGCGUGUGAGGGUCAGGUCAACUCAGGUCACUGCUGGACAUCCUCUUUUCUUAAGAGGACCUCCAUCAAGUAAGAGACCUCAAAGGACAAAUUCUGAUUCUCAAGACAGAUCUGGGUGUCUGUUGUAUGAAAAUGUCUUAAAUGCAUCUGUAACAUCAAUAGCCUAACCAUGACACGUUGUUUGUUUGGUAAGAAGAGAGGUGGGGCUGGGGAAAUGUAUGCUCAUGAAAUCAUAGAUUUAUUCUUAGUUAUAUUAUUCAAUAAUCAAUGAAUACCCUAUCAUGAAUUGAAAUGCCCAUUAAACAGCAGGAAAUGUUACAUAUUGUAUGUUCCCAUAAUCUGAGGGAGUAACGCAGGUCUUCAUUGUAAAGGCUUGAGAUGGAGAGCGAGUUGGUUCCUAUGUGGAAAUGAAUGAAUAGGGACAGACGAAGACUUGCCAUGGUGAGUGGUGGGAAUAUUAAACAGUACCUGUGUUGUUAGUCUAGUUAAGCCAAGGAUGUCAGGAUGGGGUUUUGUUUCGUCUCAGUUUGAGAAUAAAAGAAAGGAUGGCUCAUUGUCUUUAGAAAGGGAGAAAAUGCAUAGGUGUUUAUCCGCAUCAAUAGGAUGUAGCCUACAGCCAGUCUCAUCAGCUUGGAUAAAGCACCAGGCCAUAACAAGAAUAUGUUACCCUAUAAAUACAUACAAUUUUCCAGUUUGAUCAUCAUUGUUUUUUUUUUCUUUUUCUUAACAAUUUAGGUACCGAGAAAAUCAAAUCAAAUCAAAUUUAUUUA